rnacentral:misc_RNA from 1 species
CACGAGAACAUAAGAUGAGUUCGGCAAAAAGCGGACGUGCUCUACCGACCCCCACUCAUCGGGUGCUUCUCUGCUGGUCGUCAACGAAACAAUUCUCGUAUUCGUAAUGGUGUCCCAAAACUGAAUUGCGGCAAAUCCAGCGCAACCAAUAGCCAAUGUGUUCCCGUCGUGCGAGUAAGCGAGAGUUUUCAAAUCAUACGCUUGUGGCGGGGAUGCACAUUGCUCAGUCAGGUCACUCAAACUCCAAACUCGUAUGACACAGUCAGUUCCAAUCGUCGUAAAAGUGCGAGAAUCCGGAGAAAAAGCAACAGCUUCGACU